rnacentral:lncRNA from 1 species
GCGGCGCGUCCCCGCGCCCCGCCGGCAGUCGCGCGCAUUGUCACGGCCGAGCCACCUGAAUGGAUCUUAGUCGAUAUAAGGCGUAUAUUCGCGUGGCGCGGACGAACACUCUCGUUUUCACCGUACUGUGUUACGUCACGUUGCACGUUACAUCACUGGAUUAUCUUGCACACGUUCAGCGCGGACGAUAGCAGGACAGAAACUUCUCACGAAUGUAAUAGCGCUGUGGUGGACUUCGGAGCCCUACUGCGUCGUUAUCAAGUUCAAAGUAUUGCUAGUGCGUGGCGUACGCACGAUAUGAAUGAUGCUGCAAAUCAGAGAGCACGUGAAAUCACUGCAUUUAUACAAGCAAAGCUGAUUAGAGUCCAUAAUUACAAACAAAUUAAGGAGUAAAACUUGACAGCGGACGAACUCUUAGGUCUAAUUACCGCUCCAUCGAAGACAAACGUACUUAAUAUAAACCUAAACACAGUACAAGGAAGAUCCUAUCUUUGAUAAUCUUGCAGCGGAAUGAAGCAGUCAAAAGAAAUAUUAGUCUUUGUUCCAUAGUUAGUCACGCCAUCUAGAUAUGGUAAACAAUAUUAAUAGACAGUUUCAAUGCAAAAGGCUGCAGAUUGAAAAGCCGCCAAAAUGGCAUGAUUCAUUUUGUGGCCAUGUUAUCAUCUGCCUAGCCUUUUCCUAAGUAUA